rnacentral:rRNA from 1 species
AGUCGAGGGGUAGAGUUCUUCGGAGCUUGAGACCGGCGCACGGGUGCGUAACGCGUAUGCAAUCUACCUUUUACAGAGGGAUAGCCCAGAGAAAUUUGGAUUAAUACCUCAUAGUAUAAUUGAAUGGCAUCAUUUAAUUAUUAAAGUCACAACGGUAAAAGAUGAGCAUGCGUCCCAUUAGCUAGUUGGUAAGGUAACGGCUUACCAAGGCUACGAUGGGUAGGGGUCCUGAGAGGGAGAUCCCCCACACUGGUACUGAGACACGGACCAGACUCCUACGGGAGGCAGCAGUGAGGAAUAUUGGACAAUGGGCGCAAGCCUGAUCCAGCCAUGCCGCGUGCAGGAUGACGGUCCUAUGGAUUGUAAACUGCUUUUGUACAGGAAGAAACACUGGUUCGUGAACCAGCUUGACGGUACUGUAAGAAUAAGGAUCGGCUAACUCCGUGCCAGCAGCCGCGGUAAUACGGAGGAUCCAAGCGUUAUCCGGAAUCAUUGGGUUUAAAGGGUCCGUAGGCGGUUUGGUAAGUCAGUGGUGAAAGCCCAUCGCUCAACGGUGGAACGGCCAUUGAUACUGCUAGACUUGAAUUAUUAGGAAGUAACUAGAAUAUGUAGUGUAGCGGUGAAAUGCUUAGAGAUUACAUGGAAUACCAAUUGCGAAGGCAGGUUACUACUAAUAUAUUGACGCUGAUGGACGAAAGCGUGGGUAGCGAACAGGAUUAGAUACCCUGGUAGUCCACGCCGUAAACGAUGGAUACUAGCUGUUGGGCGCAAGUUCAGUGGCUAAGCGAAAGUGAUAAGUAUCCCAC